AGUGAACGCUGGCGGUAGGCCUAACACAUGCAAGUCGAACGGCAGCACAGUAAGAGCUUGCUCUUACGGGUGGCGAGUGGCGGACGGGUGAGGAAUAAAUCGGAAUCUACUUUUUCGUGGGGGAUAACGUAGGGAAAAUUACGCUAAUACCGCAUACGACCUACGGGUGAAAGCAGGGGAUCUUCGGACCUUGCGCGAUUGAAUGAGCUGAUGUCGGAUUAGUUAGUUGGCGGGGUAAAGGCCCACCAAGACGACGAUCCGUAGCUGGUCUGAGAGGAUGAUCAGCCACACUGGAACUGAGACACGGUCCAGACUCCUACGGGAGGCAGCAGUGGGGAAUAUUGGACAAUGGGCGCAAGCCUGAUCCAGCCAUACCGCGUGGGUGAAGAAGGCCUUCGGGUUGUAAAGCCCUUUUGUUGGGAAAGAAAAGCAGCAGGUUAAUACCCCGCUGUUCUGACGGUACCCAAAGAAUAAGCACCGGCUAACUUCGUG
rnacentral:rRNA from 1 species